rnacentral:rRNA from 1 species
GAUGAACGCUGGCGGCGUGCCUAAUACAUGCAAGUCGAGCGAAUGGAUUAAGAGCUUGCUCUUAUGAAGUUAGCGGCGGACGGGUGAGUAACACGUGGGUAACCUGCCCAUAAGACUGGGAUAACUCCGGGAAACCGGGGCUAAUACCGGAUAACAUUUUGAACCGCAUGGUUCGAAAUUGAAAGGCGGCUUCGGCUGUCACUUAUGGAUGGACCCGCGUCGCAUUAGCUAGUUGGUGAGGUAACGGCUCACCAAGGCAACGAUGCGUAGCCGACCUGGGAGGGUGAUCGGCCACCCGGGGACUGAGACACGGCCCAGACUCCUACGGGAGGCAGCAGUAGGGAAUCUUCCGCAAUGGACGAAAGUCUGACGGAGCAACGCCGCGUGAGUGAUGAAGGCUUUCGGGUCGUAAAACUCUGUUGUUAGGGAAGAACAAGUGCUAGUUGAAUAAGCUGGCACCUUGACGGUACCUAACCAGAAAGCCACGGCUAACUACGUGCCAGCCGCCGCCGUAA